AGAGUUUGAUCAUGGCUCAGGAUGAACGCUGGCGGCGUGCCUAACACAUGCAAGUCGAGCGAUCUUCUUCGGAAGAGAGCGGCGGACGGGUGAGUAACGCGUGGGUAACCUACCUCAUACACAUGGAUAACAUACCGAAAGGUAUACUAAUACAAGAUGAUAUAAGAGAUUCGCAUGGAUUUCUUAUCAAAGCUCCGGCGGUAUGAGAUGGACCCGCGUCUGAUUAGCUAGUUGGUAAGGUAACGGCUUACCAAGGCGACGAUCAGUAGCCGACCUGAGAGGGUGAUCGGCCACAUUGGAACUGAGACACGGUCCAAACUCCUACGGGAGGCAGCAGUGGGGAAUAUUGCACAAUGGGCGAAAGCCUGAUGCAGCAACGCCGCGUGAGCGAUGAAGGCCUUCGGGUCGUAAAGCUCUGUCCUCAAGGAAGAUAAUGACGGUACUUGAGGAGGAAGCCCCGGCUAACUACGUGCCAGCAGCCGCGGUAAUACGUAGGGGGCUAGCGUUAUCCGGAUUUACUGGGCGUAAAGGGUGCGUAGGUGGUUUCUUAAGUCAGGAGUGAAAGGCUACGGCUCAACCGUAGUAAGCUCUUGAGACUGGGAAACUUGAGUGCAGGAGAGGAAAGUGGAAUUCCUAGUGUAGCGGUGAAAUGCGUAGAUAUUAGGAGGAACACCAGUAGCGAAGGCGGCUUUCUGGACUGUAACUGACACUGAGGCACGAAAGCGUGGGGAGCAAACAGGAUUAGAUACCCUGGUAGUCCACGCCGUAAACGAUGAGUACUAGGUGUCGGGGGUUA
rnacentral:rRNA from 1 species